GAGAAGAACGAAGCGAAAUGAGAGACGGAAACUGUGGGCAGGUGCGGAAAAGAUGACGCAUGCGGAAAAAAAACGAUGAGCACAGGCGCGCGUCACUGCUGCAUGAUGAUAUUACACAGCUGAAAAACAUGGGACAGACAAACAUUCACUAGAGGUUUUAAGCGUGUGGAUAUGUUGAUGACCGAAAGAGAGAAUGAGACACAAUGUGGCGAAUCAAGAGAGAAACGGUUGGUGAGAGUCAGAUGGAGCAGCAUGAAUGGUGACAAACCAAACUUCUCUCGUGAUCCAGACAGAGACGUGAAGUGUGUGAAUGAUCAGAAUCAACAUGAGUCUCUCCUGAUCCAGACAGAGACGUGAAGUGUGUGAAUGAUCAGAAUCAACAUGAGAACACAAGUCUCUUCUGAACUCUCCAACACCUGACGACGCCAUCACUCAUAACGUGGGAUGCAUUAUUAGGUUUACCAGACCAUAAAUCUUCCUCAGAGAACAAAAAAAGUGCUGGGUGAACUGUGUCAGUAUUAGGCUUUGUGAAAAGAACAGAAAUAAGUGUAAAUAGUGUCACACCAAGUCACUCAUUUCAUGCUGUCAUACGAGUUUCCGUUGUAAAUGUAAUAUUCUGCUCAUUCUAUUUAUGUCAGUUUGCUUUAUAUCAUGAUUUUAAUACAAACAUCUUUGAAAGAUGUUUGUAAUUAGAGCUGUAGAAUUUUGUAGCUGCUAUGUUUUUGUAAUUAUUCUCAGUAUUUGUCAUUUUGUUUUUCAUUCAAGGUUCUUUGUUUUCCUGAAUCUGGUUUUUACAUUUCUUUGAAACAUUUACUGUAACACAACUGGACUAAAAACUGAACUGAACUGAACAUAUUGAGACAAGUGCAUCUUCAUCCUGGAGAUACAGACAUGCCAUUUUGAAUAAAAUCCAUAAAAUGA